rnacentral:lncRNA from 13 species
UAUUUUCUAAGAUGAUAAAUAGAGAUAAAAGUACUGGCAGGGAGAUAAGGACCUAGAAGGAGGAAUUCUUUUAAACAUUGUCUUAGCUGCUUGAUGUUUUAUUUGUGCAAACAGUGUAUUUAUCCCUUGAGAGAUAAUACUAACUGAGGAGCACAAGGGUAGUAGCACCAUUAGUUAACGUGGAGGCCUGACUUAUUAGCUUUAUUACUAUAAAUACUAAUGAUUCCUGAAUAGGCUUUUUGUCUUUAACUUGAGACUCCUUCCUUCAUAACAGCUAUAUGACAACAGAGCAAGCUCUGAGGAGUGAGAUUUGAGAGCCUAGAGAAAAAAAAAAUCAAUAAAACUAAUUUGAGAACUCAUCUGAAACAGUGUCUCCUCUGUGUAUUUUUUACAAAGAUUCCAGUUGUGACUCACGAUUUGGAACUAAUGCUGACAGACUACAGAAAAAAUUCUCAAUUACUGAGUUAAAUUUUAGCAUUAACAAAAAACAAAGAAUUGUAUUCUCCAGAGACAUGAAUGGAAGAAAAGAGAAAGAGAGAGAGAGAAGAAAGUUGCCCGUGCUUCAUUCAUUUAACCUCUACUACCGUGCUGAACAGAAGUGAUGAAAGUGGACAUCUUUGCUUCAUUCGACUCUGAAUAGGAAAGCAUCCAGUCUUUCACCAUUAGGUAUGAUGUUAACUGUGGGUUUCGAUUCGUAGUUUGUUGAAUGCUUUUAUCAUGAA